rnacentral:pre_miRNA from 1 species
ACACUUUCAUCUUUAACCAUUGAUUUGAAAAAUGAAUGGUUAAGAUUCCUUCUCAUCCUACUUAGGCAAAAUAAACUUUUUAUUUGAUCUUACCCUUAUAUAUAUAUAUAUAUGUAUAUAUAUAUAUAGUGAGGUUCAUUGGGGAACACUAAAAAGUUUAUUUUGCCUAAGUAGGAUAAGAAGGAAUCUUAACCAUUCAUUUUUCAAAUCAAUUGUUAAGAUGAAAGUGU